GAGUAAAAUAGGUUACGGGGUCGAAAACCCUCAAAAGUCAACCAAAAGUCAACAUUUUUAAUCCUGUGAACAGUGCCUGCGCUGGGGCGCCAGCCUUCGUCACAAAACAAAGUCAAAAUGGCAUUUCUAGACUUCUCUGGGCGCCUGGGCGCCACUCCUCUAAAACGGUGCGCCACAGACAAAUUGUGCUGGAUUUCUGCAGGACAGCCUCUCAUUGCAACGAUCAUAACUUGGGCUACGAAAGUCCAAUGGAGACGCACAUAUACUCGUUGGAAAGCUAACAAACAGGGCUACAACUUUUAUGGUGGCCACUAAAACCAGUUCACAACGAAAAGAGGUAAAAAAUGCACGUAAAGGUUCAGACCUCAUAGAUAACAAUUUUCUACAUUUCUCAUUUCAAACUCUAAACUCUCAAGACUCUCACAUAGACCAUUUUUCAUAUUUUAAACUCCAUCACACAUAUAUACAUACUCAAAGCACUUACAAAAGUCCAUUUAAACAUCAAUACAUCAUUCAUUACUUAUUAUUCAAAGAAAUUCAUGAACAUUUUGCAAAACUCAUCAACAUUUUGCAAAUCAUUGAGCUUGGCUAAGGCCAAUCUAGGGCUUAGGCAAAGCACACCAAAAUAACCACACAUCAACACAAUCAACCAAGCAUAUUCAUAAGCACUUAAACACAAGUAUUUUAACCAUCAAAAACACUUAUACACAUAGUUAUGAUUCCAUUUAUACAAGCUUGUGAACAUAUCAAAAUUCAUCAAGAACACAAACUUUUUCCUUAACAAACAUCUACAAAUUCCCUCAUACAAUCAUGUCAUGAAUAAAUAACAUCUCAUGAUCUUUUCCUUUCAAUGAUUCAUG
rnacentral:lncRNA from 1 species